GCGUCUCUGCUCUUUGCAAACCUGAAUAUGCCUAAAGCAGCGAGGCCAGGGUAAACUUUAAGGGCGAACAAUUUGGAGGACUUAUCAAGGAAUGUCUUAUAAAGGAUUUCGCUUUUCUCAGCGAUAAUCCGGAAGCCCCAGACCCAGAUUCUCCUCACAGUGCAAGCUUUUUUUUUCUGUCUGCUAUAAUACACUGGAGUUUUCAUUAGUAUAGAGUAGGUUUUCAGUAAGGUAAUUCGGAACUUUUACGCGAGACCUUUGUUUGCCAGAAACUAUAUUGGUUGCAACAGAUGGACAAGAGUGAGCAAAGCGGCAUAAUCAUUAAAGAACAAAACAAAAAACCCCACAACUCCUUCAACUGACCUUUGUAGUCACCAGAAGAUAUUUGUGUUGUAUCCCGUAAUCAAAGAAGCUGAAUCAGUAACCAAAAGGUGGAAAUCAGGGCAAAUGGAUGAUUAAUCCAACGAGAAUCAAAUCUGGGUCCCACCAUGGAUUGGUCCACUGUUGUUAGGUCUUCUUACUCUCCUCCAUUUUGUGGCUGUUCCUUAUCUUUCAUGACCUGGACACUCUGGAACAACAUUGGUUAGUUAUUUUGUAAACAUCCCUGAACUUGUUUUUAUCUGAUGUUUCUCUUGCUUAGUUUGAGGUUAUGCAUUAUUUUGAAGAAUGUUACAGUGGUGAUGUACCCUUCUCACUGCAAAAUACCAGGAUGCAUAAGAUGUUGAAAUGUAUUAGUGAUGUUUACCUUAAUCAAUUGGUUAAAGUGCAGUCGGCCAGGAUUAUUCAUAGUAAAAUUGUUAUUUUUCCUUUACAAUUACUGAUGUUUGGAGGGAGAUACUUUGGGACUAUACUUAGUUGAAUUGUCCUCUCAAAAUUCAUGUUUACUCAGAAGCUUAGAAUGUGGCCUUGUUUGGAAAUAGGGUCUUUGCAGAUGUAAUCAAAUUAAGAUGAAGUCAUAACUGGAUUAUGGUAAACACUAAUCCAAUGACUGAUUUUCUUAGAAGAGGGGAAUUUGGACACAGACACAGACAUACAGGGAGAAUAUCACGUGAAGACUGAGGCAGAAAUUGCAGUAAUAGAUCUAGAAGCCAAUGAAUGCCAAGAAUUGCCAGAAGCUAGAAAAGGGAAUGGAACGCAUUCUCCCUUCAAGCCUCCAGAAGGAAUCAACCUUGUCAACACCUUAAUUUCAGACUUCUAGCCACCAGAACUGUGAGAGAAUAAAGGUCUGUUGUUUUAA